AGCGAACGCUGGCGGCAUGCCUAACACAUGCAAGUCGAACGAGACCUUCGGGUCUAGUGGCGCACGGGUGCGUAACGCGUGGGAACCUGCCCUUAGGUUCGGAAUAACUCCCCGAAAGGGGUGCUAAUACCGGAUAAUGUCUUCGGACCAAAGAUUUAUCGCCUUUGGAUGGGCCCGCGUUGAAUUAGCUAGUUGGUAGGGUAAAAGCCUACCAGGGCGACGAUCCAUAGCUGGUCUGAGAGGAUGAUCAGCCACACUGGGACUGAGACACGGCCCAGACUCCUACGGGAGGCAGCAGUGGGGAAUAUUGGACAAUGGGCGAAAGCCUGAUCCAGCAAUGCCGCGUGAGUGAUGAAGGCCUUAGGGUUGUAAAGCUCUUUUACCCGGGAUGAUAAUGACAGUACCGGGAGAAUAAGCUCCGGCUAACUCCGUG
rnacentral:rRNA from 1 species